GUAACAAGGUCUCCGUAGGUGAACCUGCGGAGGGAUCAUUACACAAAUAUGAAGGCGGGCUGGAACCUCUCGGGGUUACAGCCUUGCUGAAUUAUUCACCCUUGUCUUUUGCGUACUUCUUGUUUCCUUGGUGGGUUCGCCCACCACUAGGACAAACAUAAACCUUUUGUAAUUGCAAUCAGCGUCAGUAACAAAUUAAUAAUUACAACUUUCAACAACGGAUCUCUUGGUUCUGGCAUCGAUGAAGAACGCAGCGAAAUGCGAUAAGUAGUGUGAAUUGCAGAAUUCAGUGAAUCAUCGAAUCUUUGAACGCACAUUGCGCCCUUUGGUAUUCCAAAGGGCAUGCCUGUUCGAGCGUCAUUUGUACCCUCAAGCUUUGCUUGGUGUUGGGCGUCUUGUCUCUAGCUUUGCUGGAGACUCGCCUUAAAGUAAUUGGCAGCCGGCCUACUGGUUUCGGAGCGCAGCACAAGUCGCACUCUCUAUCAGCAAAGGUCUAGCAUCCAUUAAGCCUUUUUUUCAACUUUUGACCUCGGAUCAGGUAGGGAUACCCGCUGAACUUAA
rnacentral:rRNA from 1 species